AUUUAGAGAUUCUUGAAAUAGAACACACUUAGGAAUGCUCUUUACCCCAGCUGCUGGAAGAGAUAAAAGUUUGAAUUUAUCAUAGCAUCAGAUCCUAGGAACAUGAAUACUAAAACUUUUGAAGGCCAAAAACAUGCAAGUGGGAGUAGAUGAGACCGCAGUGUCCUCUGGACCUGAGCACAGCUGUCACUUCAGUGCGGAUGGACAUGCAGAGCAGCAAGUCAGAAGCCAACUGCUAUAGCAAGUAUAAUUACAGAAAGGACCAGGCCAAGUCAUUUAUGCAGCAAAGGUUGCCUGAUUCCAGAGACAUAGAACCUACUGGUCCAAGAGUUGUGGCAGUAUGUCCCAGUCGCCAGCCACCAAGUGGAAGCUGCAAUUACAGAUCUGAACCCGCUGGAGCUGGACUCUGGGAGAGCAGGAAAAGAUAA
rnacentral:lncRNA from 1 species